AGCCUUGUUGUGGUUAUUACUGUUGUUGUUAAUGUCGUUCUUGUUGGAUAGGACAGGGAGAAACGGAGAGAGAUGGGGAAGACAGAGAGGGGGAGAGAAAGAUAGACACUUGCAGACCUGCUUCACCGCCUGUGAAGCGACUCCCCUGCAGGUGGGGAGACGGGGUUCGAACCGGGAUCCUUAUGCCGGUCCUUGUGCUUUGCGCCACCUGCGCUUAACACGCUGCGCUACAGCCCGACUCCCCUGUUUUCAUUUUUGUA